CUCGGCUCUGCCCUUGGAACUGUUCUUGGCCAGAAUAUUUGAAAACCCGCUCUGCUGCUCGGCGUACUGCUCAUGUGACUGUCAGUGGCUGGGCGCUUGCAAUGGAAUAUGCUGAUUUCAGGAGAGUUUGCUUGGUUUCUCAUACUUCAGAGAGAGAAAUGUGGUGCCUGGCAAGGCUGCAGGCAGGGAAGACAGGAGAUCUAACUCCUCUGAUUUUUUUUCUUUUAUUUCUUUUGAACAUCGGUGAGGACCUAAGGUGGAAAUAUGUGUCUAUUUUGGGCUGGAGUAGUUAAGAAACAGAGAUGCUCUUCCCCAGGUCCAGGACUUCAUGAAACAGGGGGUGACAGCUUCCUGUUUUCUUCAUUCUUUUUGGCUCUGAGCUCGUGCUGUUGCUGAAGCAGAAAGCAUCCCUGAAGGCACUGGAGAUUUGAGGAAAUCGCAGGAAGAAUGACACUUCAAUUCCACAGAAAAGAAAAAUCCAAAUGAAUGUUAGAUUUUCCUAAAAUGUCUCAAAAUGUCCCUCUGCCACUUUUACAGCUCCAUCUCUAAUCUCUGAAUAUCUGCACUUUGGCCAUCUCUUUGGUCUACUUGUCUCUUGUCAAUCAUGAGUUUGGUGUCACACUGUCCAACUUUGAGCAAUAUAUUAAGAUAUUUUCCUAAUUGUAUUGUAUUUAUUGUUUUUCUUUAUAUAGUUG
rnacentral:lncRNA from 1 species